UACGUAGGGACCGAGCGUUGUCCGGAAUCAUUGGGCGUAAAGAGCGUGUAGGCGGCUAUUUAAGUCCUGCGUGAAAUCCUGCGGCUCAACCGCAGACGGUCGUGGGAAACUGGAUGGCUAGAGUGCGGGAGAGGAGCGUGGAAUUCCCGGUGUAGCGGUGAAAUGCGCAGAUAUCGGGAAGAACACCCGUGGCGAAGGCGGCUCUCUGGAACGCAACUGACGCUGAGACGCGAAAGCGUGGGGAGCAAACAGG
rnacentral:rRNA from 1 species